rnacentral:rRNA from 1 species
GAGUUUGAUCCUGGCUCAGAACGUACGCUGGCGGCACGCCUAACACAUGCAAGUCGAACGAAGUAGCAAUACUUAGUGGCAGACGGGUGAGUAACAUGUAGGUAUCUGCCCUUUGGCCUGGAAUAACACGAGGAAACUUGUGCUAAUACCGGAUAAGUCUUUACGGAGAAAGCUUUAUGCACCAUUGGAUGAGCCUGCACUUGAUUAGUUUGUUGGUGGGGUAAUGGCCUACCAAGACUGUGAUCAAUAGCUGAUUUGAGAGGAUGAUCAGCCACAUUGGGACUGAGACACGGCCCAAACUCCUACGGGAGGCAGCAGUGGGGAAUCUUGCACAAUGGAGGAAACUCUGAUGCAGCGAUGCCGCGUGAGUGAAGAAGGCCUUUGGGUUGUAAAGCUCUUUCGUCGGGGAAGAAAAUGACUGUACCCGAAUAAGAAGGUCCGGCUAACUUCGUGCCAGCAGCCGCGGUAAUACGAAGGGACCUAGCGUAGUUCGGAAUUACUGGGCUUAAAGAGUUCGUAGGUGGUUGAAAAAGUUAGUGGUGAAAUCCCAGAGCUUAACUCUGGAACUGCCAUUAAAACUUUUCAGCUAGAGUAUGAUAGAGGAAAGCAGAAUUUCUAGUGUAGAGGUGAAAUUCGUAGAUAUUAGAAAGAAUACCAAUUGCGAAGGCAGCUUUCUGGAUCAUUACUGACACUGAGGAACGAAAGCAUGGGUAGCGAAGAGGAUUAGAUACCCUCGUAGUCCAUGCCGUAAACGAUGUGUGUUAGACGUUGGAAAUUUAUUUUCAGUGUCGCAGCGAAAGCGAUAAACACACCGCCUGGGGAGUACGACCGCAAGGUUAAAACUCAAAUGAAUUGACGGGGACCCGCACAAGUAGUGGAGCAUGUGGUUUAAUUCGAAGAUACGCGCAGAACCUUACCAACACUUGACAUGUUCGUCGCGACUCUAGAGAUUA